ensembl:lncRNA
CAAGCUCCAUUAAUGCCUCCAGGGCCCUGCUAAUUGCUAGGUCCCACCUGUGGCAGAGUGAAUGUGUAACUCCCAAGUGUAACUAGACUUCCAAUCAACAUGUAUCCUCCUGGAAAACUGUCAGGAGAACUGAAGGAUGGAGUUGCAUGAGAAGGAAGUAGGGUGUCUUCCUGCUUCAAAGACUGAAUGCUGUCUGCUGCCCUGAAGGUGACUGCGUGCAGCUUGGUUGGGCUGGCAUCUCAUUAUCCUUCUGCUGCAGGCUUCCAGCAGCUCCCCAAGCAGGGAGGUUUGGAGGCCUUUAGCUGAAAGCACAGCAACAUCUCCUGGAACUGGGUGGCUAUUGCAAGCUCAGCUGUCAGUGUCAUCCUUAAAUCCCAAGUGAAGAUAUUCACUCAGUUCCAGAAACUCCAUGUUGGCUCCCAUUGUACCAGUGCUUGACAUGAGGCUGUAUUUAUUUACCUCCUGGUGUGGCUUCACCCAUCAUACACCAUUCACUGGUGCAUUCAGGUGCAGAAAAUGGCCAUUUAGGUACAGUUUUGUGAUGCACUGUGACCAACCCAUGGGAGAGGAGGCAGACAGCAUUCAACCGCUUUUUUGCUGAGCUGAUAGCAAAGCUGAUGUUUGGGCUGCCAUGGCUGGACGAUGGGAUUCGUCAUGCUGUGGGUGAGAAAAGGGAACUUAUUCCUGUGUUGUGUCUGAAGGAUGUGGGAAAGCUUGUUGCUUUCUGCCUUCCUGCAGUCUUCUCCUGUUUUUCCUCCAACAAAUAGGGCAACAAAAACAUAAAUGCUGUCAGUGGAAGCUUUAGUUUUGCUUUUUGGCUGAAAUUCCAGGAGAGAUGUGCCACCAGUAAGGCGCUGAUGAGGCACAGGUUGGGCUGCCCAGCGUUCCUCAACCAAGAUUUUGCCUCUCCAAGCUCUUUGCUGCUUCUGUGCCCUGUUCAGGGGAAGGAAGGGCUCUGCAUUAUUUAAACCUCGCCGUGCUUUUUCCGAGAGACACAUCUUUCCCUUGUUGUGACAACUAACCAACGGGGUCACGUUGCAGAAGAACAUAAGAGCCAGGAUGGGGAGAGGGAGUGUGGAUGUGAAUGCAGAUUUCUUGUCUGGUGCAACACAAAGACUGCUUGUACUACAGCGCGCCCUGCAGCAUUAUCUGCCAAAGGUUUUGUUUCAUUUCGGCUGCUGUCCUUGUUACGUCUGGACUGGCUAACUAGUAUUUUAGGUGCUCCUGGAACAGUUUGGAUGUAUUCCUGCAACUUUCACUCACAUCUCUAUUGCUGUUCCUUCCUCCUGCCCUGCGUGAUCAUGGCAGUAAGGUCAUUUCUGCUUCCAGAUGGGCUGAAAUCUUUCAAGCAGGAGGGAAACUCCAUCUCUGCUCAUUCCUGUCUCCUCCUGACACUGACAUCCAGUUGACAUCAGCUUGUUUGAACAACAAUCCAGGACAGAACGGACCUCAGGAGUUCUCUAGCCAACCUUAAUGGAGGGACUGCUUGAGCUGCUCCCACAAGCAGAUGAACUUGGAUUACAGUGACAGAGAAGCAGUAUCAAGCAUUUAUGCAAAAGACCCAAACCCAUAACUUAUUUUACAGAUCUCCAAUCACCAACCAUUUCCAGAAGUGACAGUUUUCAAGGCACGCAGUCACUCCGGUUGCUUUUUCCCACUGAUGUUUGGGAGGCUCUGCAAGCAGAAGGAUAACGGGUUUUUGUACCCUCGGUUUGGGAUGUUUAGUACGCAGAGGCACUUCCCAAGCAUUCCGUGAGAACAAAAAGCCCUUUUCCUGACUGUUUACAGAUGACUUGCAAAGAAUAAGCGAGAGGUUUGAGCAUCGCUGAGCCGAACAGCUGCCGAGAAUUCAAAUCCCUGGUUGCAAGCCGUGCUCUUUCCACCAGCUCUGCUUUGAAAAAUGCAGGACUGAGGCAUGUCCCAAGCUAGAGCUGUCCAUCAAGGGCACGGUGAAGGGGAAACCUUGUCUCAUUUCCAUUCCCCAACUUGCUCUUUGAAAGCCGAUUCUUUAAGCGUUACCAUUUCUGGAAGCUUCUCAGUGUUUGGGUUCCAGCUGUGAUCUCCUGGGCUUCAGUGAACUUUUUCGAGCUGGAAGGAGGUUGCAUGAACAAUGACAUGAAGAUGACUGCUUGCAUCUGUGUGCACUGGGACGUAUCAGUCCCUGCAAUGAAUAAUGUACAUACCUCUACCUUUUGAUUUUUGCAGCAUUGGUUUUC